rnacentral:lncRNA from 1 species
UUCUUUCAUCUCAUUGGACGCUCACAAUACAUCUCAUGCAUACAUAUAGGGUUAAAUAGGUUCUCAAACAUUUCAAAUAGCACGUGUACUCACAUCAUGCAACAUUCACAUAUAUAUCAUCACAUCUACCCUAUAAUGCAUGCAACAAUAUAGAUAUAUACUCAAUUGAAUGACACAUUAGGCAUAGAAGGAAUUCCAACAAGUUUGGAUAGCACUACCCACCUCGUAGGCAUGCUAGGAUGCUACAAUGAUUUUCUUGGAAUUUUUAGAUUCCUAGUUCGUCACCUGCGGCAAAACGAAGCCCUAUUAGGCCAUUUUGCUCAUAUCUUUACAUUGACUUUUCGUAACGUUAAUCCGAAUGCACCAACGCGUCGGAAAUACUCCCAAUUAGGUUUCUAAAGGGUCAAUUUUAUUUUCGAACCUUUACAAAAAAAAGUCCCAAAUUUGGGUGCCCUAGCUCAACCCACAUCAAAACCUAGGGUUUGAUCUCAUUAUGAAGCAAAAGAAGCUUCAAUCUACCCUAGAGACUCCAUAAAAAUCAUUCUUAGCUCAAUCCAAACCCUAGUUUGGAUUCUACCAUGAGAGGGGUGAAGCUCAACUCUACGCUUCAUCAUCAACACCUAAUCCAUGGUUUUGAUCUCAUCCACAAGCAAAAGAAAGCUUGAAACACUCAUUAGGCUCAACUAAAACCAUUUCUAGGUCAUUGGGUUCUCAUUUUUAGGUUUUACCAUAAAAGGGAUCAAAGCUUAUCUCAAAGCUUUCCCUUCUUCAAGCUAGAGAUGAGGGAGAGGGAGUUUCUUCACUCCUUCUUCUUUUUCUUCUUCUCCUUCUUCUUCUUCUUUUCCCUUUCUUUUCUUUCCUUUCUCUUUUCUUUCUUCUUCUCCUUCUUGUCUUCUAGAGAGAGAAAGAGAGGAGAGAGAGUGUGAGAGGGUGAGAAUGGGAGGAAAUAUCUCAUACACCCCUCAUACAUAGCCCACAUAAUGCAUUUUUGCAUUUAAACCCCUCAAUUUUCAUUUUAUUACACUGCUGGAAAUGGGCAGAUUUCGUGUGCAGGGACCGGUCUCAUCGACCAGGGACCGGUUCCCGUAGCUCCUCCCUGCGGGUAGCCAGGGCUCCCGCGCAAUGCGACCGGUCUCUCUUUGGGGGACCAGUCUCUCCAGCAAGGACCGGUUCCCGAGAGCCUGAUCGCAGGGACUUAGCCAAUUUUUUCCUUUUCUCAUCUUCCACGCGUACGGGGACCGGUCUCUCCCACCAGGGACCGGUCCUCGAGAGUUCAAAAACUGCAGUUUGCAGAUUUUUGAUUCUCUAACUCUCGAAAACCUCCCACAAUACACUUUUGAUCAUUUUAACACCUUCGGACUUUCCGAAGUGUACCAUCCUCACACUUUGGUCAAUUUGAUUAAAGUUCGAUAUUUAGUUUCCGAAUUUUCGGUAUAUUACAUGCAUCUUCAGUAUAUUGGGGAAGGUAAAUAAAAGGAGUUGAGGGACUCCGAUAAUGAAACAUAUUGUUGGAAGAAGUUAGUAAUUGUGUCGAUCAACGAUGCGAUAAUCUCCACGGUAUUCGUUUGGUUUUGUUGCAAUUAAAGGGCAACAAAAACUUACAAACUGGAUGGCACAAAUCGAAAUUGGAUGGAGACAUAGAGUUACUGGUUUUACUAAUCUUCUCGUUUCGUCCUUGUCUUGAUGCUUCAUGGUUUGAUGAUCAAAACUUGCCCAAUGCAGCAAUGUGUUGGAUUCCAAUGAAUCACUUUGAGCAAUUCUUAUUGCGAUGAACUUGCAAUCCAAAAGAAUAGUUACCAAUAAUCACCACAGGGACACUGGCCAUCCUUGAAAUGAUGAAACCGCUUGAUGUCUCUCUACACAAUCUCCCCGCUUGAUGUCUCUCUACACAAUCUCCCUCCCAUACAAUUCGCUCGCGAACUUCAUCAAAGAAUGGAAAUCCCCGCAAGCUAUGAGGUUCAUCACUAUCCUGAUGACGACUUCUCCCUCCACAGCACUUAGAAGCUGAGAGCAAGCGUGAGCUUCUCACUAUGGCAUCCUAAAGAAUCCUUCUUAUCCUCUUCCUCGAUGUUAUGUAGCACCCAUUCCAUAUUCGGCUCGUAACCUUUCUCCCUUGCCUUAAUCUCGAGCUCCUCGAGCUUGCAGUGUAUGUUAUAUCUUAUACCACAUCUUUAUGUCUUCUCAAUCACUUGCCAAGCUUAAUUUAAUAAGGUAUAAGUAGCAGCCAAAGCUCGACGAUCUUUUCUUUAAGCUCAACUUGCCGCUCCUCAGUGUUUGAAAACUCAUUCACAAUAGGUUUCGACAUAGCCAGAUUAUCCUCUCUAAUCAAUUCAAAUACAAACAAUGACCCUUUAAUCGAUAUCCAAGUACCCCACAACAAUUAAAUGCUCUGUAUAUAUUAAACAUACCUCUUUUUCCAAAAGAUCUAGGGCAUGUUUAGCUAUCAUGCUACUCUACUUUGGCAAUAAGAAAUGUUAACAAGUUCUGCUAUAGUGGGAAGCAAAAAUGUGGUUUUGAGACUCAAAAGCAGAAGCUUAAAUCUCAUGCUUUUAAUCCUACAGUAAAGAGAAACCGUUAUGAGGAAUUUGGCGCCUUUUUGGCCCUGCUUCUGCUUUUAAUUCUAAUCAUUUCGUAAAAAAAGCGCGUACUGCUUUUGCAAUAGCAGAAAUCAAAAAAUGAGGUUACAAGGUCGAAAAGCAGAAGCUUGCUCCAAUUUGGGUGCUUCUGCUCCAACAUCUACUUCUACUUGAAUGAGAAUCUUUACAAAAGAUCUUAGCUAAUAUAAUACUUCUUCGAGAACCAUUAAUUACAUAGCACCUAAGCAGAGCCAUAAACUAGUGCUUCUGCAAGCAGUGCUUUUUCUAAUAACAACAUACUCACUACACAGCACCCAGACGGAGUUAGGACAGGACACUAAACCUACAAUAGAGAAAAUAGACGCGGGCACUAAGGAUCUGCGAGGCGCGCCUGGGGUCAGGCUUGAGGAGAUCAUAGAGGGUGAGUUUGGAGAAGCGGAUAGAGGCGGGGAAGUCCUUGACCUUACGGUAGAGGUUGAGGAUCCUAAUGGCGUUGGCAUGGUGGUCGGGGUUGUCGAGGCGCUCCAGCGCUGCGAACCUGAUCUGGUCAUCGGCCCCUUCACUAAGAAGUAGGAAGAAGAGAAAAAAGUUACUAGGUCUAGGGUUAGGGUUUGGAGGAUUAGGGUUUUCAGUAGUAGAGUUUUAGUCGUACCCGAGGAGGUCAAUGCAGGCGAAGAAGUUGGAGAAGAUGGAGAGAAGGAGGUCGGGGAAGGGCGAGGCGAAAUCGUUGGGUUUGAGGGAAAGGGAGACGAUGCCCUCCGACACGAGCACGGAUGUAAUCUCCGAUGCCGACACCUCCCACACCGAGAAGCUCGACAUCUCUCUCUCUCUCUCUCUCUCUCUCUCUCUCUCCUCUGAUUUCUCUUUCUAAUUUCCCGCCAAA